rnacentral:rRNA from 1 species
GAUGAACGCUGGCGGCGUGCCUAAUACAUGCAAGUCGAGCGAACGGACGAGAAGCUUGCUUCUCUGAUGUUAGCGGCGGACGGGUGAGUAACACGUGGAUAACCUACCUAUAAGACUGGGAUAACUUCGGGAAACCGUAGCUAAUACCGGAUAAUAUUUUGAACCGCAUGGUUCAAAAGUGAAAGACGGUCUUGCUGUCACUUAUAGAUGGAUCCGCGCUGCAUUAGCUAGUUGGUAAGGUAACGGCUUACCAAGGCAACGAUGCAUAGCCGACCUGAGAGGGUGAUCGGCCACACUGGAACUGAGACACGGUCCAGACUCCUACGGGAGGCAGCAGUAGGGAAUCUUGCGCAAUGGGCGAAAGCCUGACGGAGCAACGCCGCGUGAGUGAUGAAGGUCUUCGGAUCGUAAAACUCUGUUAUUAGGGAAGAACAUAUGUGUAAGUAACUGUGCACAUCUUGACGUUACCUAAUCAGAAAGCCACGGCUAACUACGUG